UCGGAUAUGGUGUAACGGCCAACAUUGCCGCCUCUCAUGCAGUGCGCGGCAGCUCGGGGUUCGAUUCCCCGUAUCCGAA
rnacentral:tRNA from 2 species